rnacentral:rRNA from 1 species
GAUGAACGCUGGCGGCGUGCUUAACACAUGCAAGUCGAACGGUGAAGCCGGAGCUUGCUCUGCUGGAUCAGUGGCGAACGGGUGAGUAACACGUGAGCAACCUGCCCCUGACUCUGGGAUAAGCGCUGGAAACGGCGGCUAAUACUGGAUACGAGCUGCGACGGCAUCUUCAGCAGCUGGAAAGAACUUCGGUCAGGGAUGAGCUCGCGGCCUAUCAGCUUGUUGGUGGGGUAGCGGCUCACCAAGGCGUCGACGGGUAGCCGGCCUGAGAGGGUGACCGGCCACACUGGGACUGAGACACGGCCCAGACUCCUACGGGAGGCAGCAGUGGGGAAUAUUGCACAAUGGGCGAAAGCCUGAUGCAGCAACGCCGCGUGCGGGACGACGGCCUUCGGGUUGUAAACCGCUUUUGGCAGGGAAGAAGCGAGAGUGACGGUACCUGCAGAAGAAGCGCCGGCUAACUACGUG